rnacentral:rRNA from 1 species
AUGUGUUCCAAUUUCUCGCCUUGCACCGACCAUCCAACGGACCAUAGACUAAACGACCACUGCCUGAAAGGACUAUGCUAUGUCCAGGGGAACCCUGGAAUUAAAAAAGGGCAAUCCUGA